UCCCUCACUCUUUUCUGCCUCUCAGACAAUUUCUUCUUCUUCUAUUUUUUUUAAUUUUUUUUUUUUUGGCGUUUCGAGGAAGUUUUCAGCAAACCCACCCUCGCUCCCAGCUCUCGCAGGGCGCGAUAACAGCGGAGCCCUCUGAAAGUUUGAGAAAAAGAGAGGAGGAGAAGCGGGGACCGAGGAAAUAAACACUAAGGAAGAGCGAGGAGCCGCGCGGGAGCCGGAGGCUGCCCAGCCGGCAUCCCCUCCCGGUGUCCCCCGAGGUCCCCCCGCAGCCCCGAGGGAAGCGCGGAGCAGCCCCGGGGGCUGGAGCAGCGCGGAUCCCGCUGCUGCUGCCGGGGAGGGACAGACAGAGCCGGGAGCGAGGAUGAGGGGGCACAGGAGCGGCACACGCAGAGAUGCAGACAGACACACGUAAAUACAGACUAAAACACCAGUGCUGAGACCCAAGAGUUCCUCGUGAAUAAACGUGGCUGUUUGUACACGGAAAUACCCCCAGGCACAGCACAAAAAUCGCGCGUGUGGAUGUGCAGGUGACGAGAUCUCCACAAGCACUUGCCCAACAGCGUUUCCUCCAGCUCAAGCCAUCCCUGCCCCACCCGCUAUGGGUUUUAUAUGGAUAUUUACGUUUCACCCGGGGUUUAAAGGCAGAUUUUUGGGCGCACACAAGCCUUAAUCUGCCCGCAGCUCAGUGGGAGUGGGCGCAAACCCGCGCACCAGCAGAAGGAGGGCGAGCGAUCAGCGUGGACGCGCCGCCUGUGCACCGCACUCUCCCUAUAUACAUAAAUAUUUAUAUAUAAUCCAGAAACAGAACCCCCCACACGCAUCCCCGGCCCCAAGCGCCGUGGAGCCCUUACCUCCGUGGGGCUGGCGGCUCCGUGGCUGUGCCCCCCGAGUCCCCGCAGCCCCUCGGGGCUGCCUCCCGGCUUUUCAGCCCCUCGGGCGGGCAGGACCCGGCUGUGCAGCCCCGCAUGCCGGAGCCCCGCUCGGCCCCGCAGGGUGUCCCUGGCCCCGGCGCUUUCUCCUUGCGGGAUUUCCCGGCCAGCUGCAGGCAGGGGGGUGGCCGGGCUGCUGGCUCGCAGUGGGGUCGAGGUGUCAGCAGUAAGAAAUAGUGCCGAGCGUGAACUCGCUCUCCCCCCGCCCGCCCUCCACACCCCUUUAAAAUCACUUUUUUGGGUCGGCUUAACCAAACCGAAGAGGAUUUUGAGUUUCUCUCGCUGCUCCUCGUCCUGCCCAGGACGGGGCAGCGCGGCCGCCCGGCUUGUGAAAUACAGAGACAUCAGCGCUCGUGCCUUCCCCACGCUCUUUUCUCCCUCCUUGCCAUAUUUUCAGCGAAAAUCAGCUCCCUCCUAGCAGGGAUUAUUAUUUUUCCUUUCCAUUUUUAGAUAAUUUACUUCCCCUCUCGGACCAGUUCUCUCUUUGCUUUUAUUUCCCUUUUGUUGGCCGCUUUUCGCUUUGGCGAAAUACGCACCUGGGAGCAAACAAGUGUUUAAAAGAAUCCUCCUCUCUGGAAGCAUUUUUGUCCAUUCACUUAUUGGGUUUUUUAAUAUGUGUUGGGUUUUUUGUCCCAGUUGUUUCCUAUUUUCUUUCCCCUCAGUCGUGGGGGCAGGGACUGACUGCGCUGAUCUGAGAGUUGGUAUCAACAAAAUAUUUGUACGAAAGUCCCACCAAUACAGUUCUGUCGUGUCAUUAUUUCCAUUACAAAAUCCUGCCUUUAGUGCUGGAGAAUUGCUUUAGACGAGCCUUCGGGGGUAGAUACCUGGCUCGAGCUUUUUUCUUUCCCUUUUUUUUUUUUUUUUCUUCUUUAAUUACAGGUGAAUAGCGUUUUUCUUUUAAAGUUUGUGGUUUCGGCUGUUUUGGAUUUGGUUUUUGUUGGUUUGUUGGGGUUUUUUUCCCGCCCUUCUGGCUACCUUAAGAAAAAAAAAAUUGCAAUUAAAACCCUUUCCCCUCCCUGAGCCCAUUAAUUUCCCAGGCGAGCUGCAGGCUUUGAAACAGUGAGGAAAAUGAAAAAGAAGGAGCGGGGCAGAGGCAGGGCUUGGCGAGGCGCGGGCACAGCGCUCCUUCCUCACCUCCCACGCGUGGGGUGAAGAUCCCUUUUCCUCCUGGACGCCAAGCAGAGCCUGAGGAUCCCCAAAUUAAUCCCCAGUGGAGCAGAAGGGAUCCAUUCUCUUUCCCCCGAUCCCUCCAAAAGGCGUUUUUCAGGGAGGGGAGUCCGGGGAGACAGGGGUCCACCACCCCCUCCCCGGUUUUUCCCCAGUGUUGCCCGGGAAAAGAUGGAAUUGUGCUGCGUUUCUCUUCGUGCCAUCGCCGUGGGGGAUUUUUUGGCACGCUCCAUUCCGGACUGAUCUGCUCUGCCCAACCAGGGCGACAAUCAGGGCCUUAUCUCGGCCCCGAGGAGAAAAUAAAAGCUGAUAAGGCCUUGGCUCCCUUCGCUGCCUGGGAAGAAACGAAAUGGGGGCAAAAAAGGGGAAAUCCUCAGCGCCCCGUGCCUGCCCCUGAGAGCGAUCCUGCCCUGACCCUGGAGGGCGGGCGGGGGUGGCAAAAGGAGCCCGAUCCCGCAGGGUUGGGAUCUUUUCCGUGUCUGAUAAAAGCCCCAAAGCAUCACCUGUGAAUGUUUUUCCUUCCCUCGCUCUCCCGGGGAGAGCAGCCCUGGGCGGGGGGACACCCGGGCAUCCCCAGUUCCCUCAUCCCGACCGAAUUUCUUCCUCCCUUUCUCUCCAACUCAUUUUUUUUCCUCUCUUUUCUCCUUUCCAAGCCCUCUCACCUCUUUUCUUCCCCAUUUUCCGUUUUCCCCCCUUUUCUCGCCCCCGGUCGCUUUUCUUCCCCUGCCCUAAAUAACGCCGAGCGACAGCGCAGCGCGGCCGCUCUGGAUAUCCACAUUAUCCUUUGUAUGCCCGCUAUCCACGAAUUUUGGGAGCGGGAGACGCUCCCAGGGAGGCGGGGGGGUGGCUGUGAGCUCGGCCUUGGACGGGUAUCACGGGCUCCCUAAAAUUCACUUUUAUCUCUGCAGGAAAAAUACAGAUUAUAUCAAUAACCCAAAGAGUUCUUGAGAUCUGUUUUGCGUGCGUGUCCAGAAAACGUUAAAUACCAAAAAAUGACCACAGGAGGAAUAGAAAAGAA